rnacentral:tRNA from 1 species
UCCUGGUGGCUCAGAUGGUAAAGCGUCUGCCUACAAUGCAGGAGACCCGGGUUCGAUCCUGGGGUCGGGAA